rnacentral:tRNA from 1 species
UAGAUGGAAGCCCGUUGGUUUGGGCGCCUAGCUGUUAACUAGGAUUUUGUGGGAUCGAAGCCCGCCUGUCUAG